ACCUGUUAAUAUAUUUGCCUAAAACAUUCUUUAAUGUUUGAUUUGUUCGUUCGUUUUGCCCGUUUAUCUGUGGAUGGUAGCUAGAAGUUAUGCACUGACGAAUGGAAAGUUUUUCGAACACCCUUUCAUUAACCUGUUUCAAGAACAACUCUAAUACGGAGAUCUCUUUUUAACUACUCUUUUCAUAAAUUCACGACCCUGAUCUGUCAAAACUCGACUUGGCGACCCAAAUAAAUAAAUCAUGGUCAGUAACAAAUCUGCCACAUUUUCAGCUGUCUUUGCCUCGGGAUGAACAGCUAUAUAUAUCUGUUAGUAUAUUUGCCUAAAACAUUCUUUAAUAUUUGAUUUGUUCGUUCGUUCUGCCCGUUUGUCUGUGGAUGGUAGCUAGAAGUUACGCAGUGACGAAUGGAAAGUUUUUCGAACACCCUUUCAUUAACCUGUUUCAAGAACAACGUUUGGUUGGGGUAAGUAUAACUCUAAUACGGACAUCUCUUUUUUUAACUACUCUUUUUAUAAAUUCACGACCCUGGUCUGUCAUAACUCGUCUUGGCGGCCAAAAUAAAUAAAUCAUGGUCAGUAACAAGUCUGCCACAUUUUCAGCUGUAUUUGCCUCGGGAUGGACGUAAGUUCUGGAGCAGCUGUUUUCAUUUUUGCCUUAAACUGGUAUUCUGGGCAUUCCUCGAUCUAGCAAAAUAUAAAGUAAUUUUUAAGUGACUACAUGUUGCUUCUGGGAUCAGAAAGUAACAAACCCAUUUUUUAUGUCUGCGGUCAUACUUCUCCAGUAGUAUGACUGAUUGACUUUUUUUGGGUGAUAACGGUACCUCUGUGGCCACCGGUACCUUCAUCAUCGUGGUACUCUUCCUCCUUGGUGUACAAAACCUUUAGUCUUGAACAUCUUGCCCUCUUCAAAACUUUUUUUUGUGUAAGCGCAAGUGUAAGUUGGUUUUGUGCAAAUACCAUGCAUCACAAAUUUCUGUGCUGCCUUUCUUAUUUUUCUGCGGUCCGAUAAGCUCUGGUAAAAAUGACGACCUUCAAAGCAAGCAGAUACUGGUCACCCUGUUUAAUGUCUUUAUUAUUUAAGCGCGCGACACAACGUAUUUUAAACCUGGUCCUGGAUGGUUGUUGAUGCCGAAGAUGACGAUUCUGAAACGACAAAUAACGUUGUUCAAAAUACAAUUUGUAUACGCAACAGCGUAUUUAGUCAUUGGAGUGGAACUGUUUUCACGAAUAUCGUCAUCAAGGGUCAAAGGGAACGAUGUUUUUCUGACAACGGCAUGCCACCACAACGAAGUUGCAUCUUCGAGUCUAAAUAAACAAUGCAAAAUAACCAAAUAUUUGAUUGGUUUUCACGAAUGUCGUCAUCAAGGGUCAAAGGGAACAAUUUUUUUCUGACAACUGCAUGGCACCACAACGAAGUUGCAUCUUUUAGUCUAAAUAAACAAUGCAAAAAUAACUAAAUGUUUGAUUAUCUGUCCAAACAUGAACAUGUAUUUUUAACAUUGGUGGUAUUUAUGC